rnacentral:rRNA from 1 species
AUUAAACGCUGGCGGCAUGCCUUACACAUGCAAGUCGAACGGCAGCACGGGGGCAACCUUGGUGGCGAGUGGCGAACGGGUGAGUAAAGCAUCGGAACGUGCCCUGGAGUGGGGGGAUAACGUAGCGAAAGUUACGCUAAUACCGCAUAUUCUGUGAGCAGGAAAGCAGGGGAUCGCAAGACCUUGCGCUCUGGGAGCGGCCGAUGUCGGAUUAGCUAGUUGGUGGGGUAAAGGCCUACCAAGGCGACGAUCCGUAGCGGGUCUGAGAGGAUGAUCCGCCACACUGGGACUGAGACACGGCCCAGACUCCUACGGGAGGCAGCAGUGGGGAAUUUUGGACAAUGGGCGAAAGCCUGAUCCAGCCAUGCCGCGUGAGUGAAGAAGGCCUGGUGUAAGACUCUUCGUGGAGAAGUGCAUAGGCUAAGUAACCUCGUGUAGAUGACGGUACCAGGAGGAAGAAGGACACCGGCGUAACU